ACUCCUACGGGAGGCAGCAGUGGGGAAUAUUGCACAAUGGGGGAAACCCUGAUGCAGCGACGCCGCGUGGAGGAAGAAGGUCUUCGGAUUGUAAACUCCUGUUGUUGAGGAAGAUAAUGACGGUACUCAACAAGGAAGUGACGGCUAACUACGUGCCAGCAGCCGCGGUAAAACGUAGGUCACAAGCGUUGUCCGGAAUUACUGGGUGUAAAGGGAGCGCAGGCGGGAGAACAAGUUGGAAGUGAAAUCCAUGGGCUCAACCCAUGAACUGCUUUCAAAACUGUUUUUCUUGAGUAGUGCAGAGGUAGGCGGAAUUCCCGGUGUAGCGGUGGAAUGCGUAGAUAUCGGGAGGAACACCAGUGGCGAAGGCGGCCUACUGGGCACCAACUGACGCUGAGGCUCGAAAGUGUGGGUAGCAAACAGGAUUAGAUACCCUGGUAGUCCACACCGUAAACGAUGAUUACUAGGUGUUGGAGGAUUGACCCCUUCAGUGCCGCAGUUAACACAAUAAGUAAUCCACCUGGGGAGUACGACCGCAAGGUUGAAACUCAAAGGAAUUGACGGGGGCCCGCACAAGCAGUGGAGUAUGUGGUUUAAUUCGACGCAACGCGAAGAACCUUACCAAGUCUUGACAUCCCUUGACGAACAUAGAAAUAUGUUUUCUCUUCGGAGCAAGGAGACAGGUGGUGCAUGGUUGUCGUCAGCUCGUGUCGUGAGAUGUUGGGUUAAGUCCCGCAACGAGCGCAACCCUUAUGGUCAGUUACUACGCAAGAGGACUCUGGCCAGACUGCCGUUGACAAAACGGAGGAAGGUGGGGAUGACGUCAAAUCAUCAUGCCC
rnacentral:rRNA from 1 species